UCAUAUCACAUUAAAACUCCAGUUCUUGUCAGAUCACUGAAGUUAAGCAAUGUUAAACUUGGUCAGUACCUAGAUGGGUGACUGCUUGAAAAUACCAGGUGCUGUAAG